rnacentral:tRNA from 1 species
UGUAAAAUAAGCUAACUAAAGCUAUUGGGCUCAUACCUCAAAAAUGAAUAGAAUUCUUUUACAA